UCACCUCCAUGUUUUUGGACACAACUUCUCCUCAGAGAGCCGCCCAGUGUCUCUGUCUGUGUCCGAUCCAACAGGUGUGAUCGUCAGAUGGGUGGUGGUGCCGCUGUCUCUCCUGCUGCUGCAGGGGGCGCUGUGGCUUUACUGUAAGGCCAGCAGGGGGCAGACCAGCAGACCGGGCGGACGCUGAGCGGAGUGCAGUGGAAGGAUGAAGUCGGUCCUCUGAACCUUCCUACUGUGGAAGACAAGAUGGUUUUUAUGAGCUUUUUCCAAAAAUGCUGAAUCUCAUCUCAUUCCCACAGACAGUGGAGCAAGGUUCCUUUUCCUUUUGUGGACCAUGGUGAAAAAAAGAGCUUUGUUUUGCCGUAUACUGGACCACGAUGGAUGUCCUUUUUUUAAUCUCCAUUUUUAUCCUUUUUUACUUGUUUUUCAUUGAUGUUUUUAAGUCAUAUCAUGUCUGAGAGAAUAAACU